GUCUAGCUGAUGAAUUUUAAAUAGGAUGAAACGCGCGUCCUGAAU
rnacentral:hammerhead_ribozyme from 1 species